GGCAUCCCGGGCGCUGGGUGCCCCGAGCGGCUACGACGAGUCCCAGGUGGGGCCGGGCUCCAGGCCCGCGGGGGAGCGGAGCCGUGCGCCGCAGGCGGGCUCCGUGACGCCGGGUGGGGAACGCCGGGCCGGUGGCGGGACUUCCGCCACGGGACUCGGAAGGGGCCGCGCCGCCGCUGCUGGGAGUUGUAGUCCGGCCGUGGUUGGGGGAGCCGCGGCUCAUGCGCGGUGCACAGAGGCUUGUUUCACAUCUGUAACAACAGGAGGAGGCCCAGCCUCGUGAUGAGGAAUAGCAAGGAGAGAAUUCAGCUCCAGUUCAAAAGCCUACAAAAUCUGAGACUGUCAUUGCUUUUAUAAGGAUUCCAGCUUUCCCUCCUGGCCAGAAAUGUUCAGCCUGGACUCAUUCAGAAAAGAUCGGGCCCAGCACAGGCAGCGUCAGUGCAAACUUCCCCCACCCCGCCUUCCACCCAUGUGUGUCAACCCUACCCCAGGAGGGACCAUCUCUCGAGGCUGAACGUUAACAUUUCCAACAUGGCAGGCAGGGGUCUGGAUUUGGUCUGCAGGCUGUAGUUUUCCAACUCCUGCUCUAGACCAGUGAGGAGAAGAACACAGAAGCAGAAGAGUUCCAAGAGCUGCUGUAAAGAGUUGCCCUUAUCUUACAAGAGUCAUUGAGGUUUGUGGAGGUGAAAUACUUGCUCAGGGUGACUCUUGCUGUUAGAACCCAGUUGAAAUAAAUGAAUAGGAAAAGGGGA
rnacentral:lncRNA from 10 species